UACGUAGGGGGCUAGCGUUGCCCGGAAUCAUUGGGCGUAAAGAGCGUGUAGGCUGCUCGGUAAGUCCGCUGUGAAAACUCGAGGCUCAACUUCGAGCUGUCGGUGGAAACUUUCUGGCUAGAGUCCGGAAGAGGAGAAUGGAAUUCCUGGUGUAGCGGUGAAAUGCGCAGAUAUCAGGAAGAACACCCGUGGCGAAGGCGGUUCUCUGGGACGGUACUGACGCUGAGACGCGAAAGCGUGGGGAGCAAACAGG
rnacentral:rRNA from 1 species